AUGGAAAGAAGCAAAAUGAACCCAGAGCCCCAGAGCCCAGCACCCAAACCAGGCACUCGGAGCUGGGGGCAGGAGCCACCGGGCAGGGCGGGAGGAGGAGGGAGGCUCCGCAGCCAGCACGGUGCUGCCCAGGGCCCGGGGAGCCAGAGGCACCACGAACGCCCUUCUCCAUCCUCCCCUUUGUGCCCCGGACACUGCCUGUGGAGGCAGCGCUGCUUGGGUGCAGUCAGACCCUCACACGAGCACCCUGGCCCCUGCCAGCUGUGGUGCCCAUGGCAGAACCGGCACCAGCACCCUUCCCAGCCAAACCCUGCAUGCACCACAGGCACCCCAAAACUGCCCCCUUUGCCCGGUGAGGGCUGUGGGAGCAGCGGGAGGUCUGACCACGGUGCUGUGUUGCAGGCAGCACGGUGCAGGUCGGUCACUGCACCCACACCACAGCGUGAGCCCCGCCGAGCCGUGGCCAUCCCUGCUGCCCUGCGCGGGGCUGUGUGUGCCCAGCACACCCUCACCUCCCUCCGUGUGUCUGCUGCACCCAUCCCACACGGGUAAAAGGUGGGGGCUGAAGCCGGCCAGUGUUUUAUGUGGUAUUAACAAGUCCCCCAAGAUCAGGCACAAAGUGGGCUGGGGCUCAGGGCUGGGGCUGUUGAGAGCUGAAGAAGCCGUGUGGCUGCCCCGUCCUGCGGCUGAGCCCUCCUCAUCCUCAUCCUGCACUGCCGGAGCCAGGGAAUGGAUCUGUCCGUGCAGCUGCAGGUCCCUGCUUAUCUGCCCCCCAAAACAGAGGAAUGUUUCCUUGUUGUGUCAAAUUUAAUUACGUCCCUGUACUGGAGGUGCAAUGCUGGAGAUGUUUGCAAUUGAUUUUAUUUGACAAAUUACUCUGGUGUUCCGUGUGUUCCUUAUCUGCAGCUGCAGAAAGAUGACCAUGCUGGCCUACCCCACAGCACAUCAAAGCACUUGGGAGGACAAAUCCUGCAGCAGCAUGCGGUCAGAACAACAUCAGCCUGCUGGCACCGAGCUGCAUUUUGUUAAGCUCUAGCUAACAGUGUAAAAAAAUUA
rnacentral:lncRNA from 1 species